CUUCAUUGCACAAACCGUCGAGGACGCCAUUAUUUCCCUCCUGAACAAACUGCGGAACCAUGUUGGUCAAGACCAGGCUUGGUGAUGUCCAAAAAUUUGUUAGAGUAACAGAGCUGGAUCUGAAAGGGUUUUUGAUUGCAGCAUUUGAAAAGUUUGGUGUGCCAGCUGUGACAGAAGGUGUGAAGGUUGUUGACAGUUCCGGGACUGAGUUGGAUGAGGACGUAUUUGAA